UAGGUGUAUUAAGUCUUUAGAAUUAAGCUU
rnacentral:piRNA from 1 species